rnacentral:snRNA from 1 species
GAAUGUGAGGGCAAUCUGGCUGCAACAUCUGUCACCUCAUUGAUCGCCAGGGUUGAUUCGGCUGAUCUGGCUGGCUAGGCGGGUGUCCCCUUCCUCCCUCAACGCUCCAUGUGCGUCCCUCCCGAAGCUGCGUGCUUGGUGGUGCUUUGUGGAUGCUUGGUGGUGCUUGGUGGAAGAGGAAGACCAUCCCAGAUAGAAGGAGUGUACGGUUCUUCGGUCAAGGAUAUACGAUAGCUGUGCUCCCCUGCUAGAACCUCCAAACAAGCUCAAGGUCCAUUUGUAGGAGAACGUAGGGUAGUUAGGUUUUAGACAUGUUCACCUAGCUUCAUUUUGGU